rnacentral:rRNA from 1 species
UUGGAGGGCAAGUCUGGUGCCAGCAGCCGCGGUAAUUCCAGCUCCAAUAGCGUAUAUUAAAGUUGUUGCAGUUAAAAAGCUCGUAGUUGAAUUUCGGGAUCAAUAUAUUGGUCGUGCCUCUGGUAUGAACUGGUAUUAUUGAUUUCUACCUUCUGACGAACUGUGAUGUCAUUAAUUUGGUGUCAUGGGGAAUCAGGACUGUUACUUUGAAAAAAUUAGAGUGUUUAAAGCAGGCACACGCUUGAAUACAUUAGCAUGGAAUAAUGAAAUAGGACGUUUGACCCUAUUUUGUUGGUUUCUAGGAUCGACGUAAUGAUUAAUAGGGAUAGUUGGGGGCAUUAGUAUUCAAUUGUCAGAGGUGAAAUUCUUGGAUUUAUUGAAGACUAACUACUGCGAAAGCAUUUGCCAAGGAUGUUUUCAUUAAUCAAGAACGAAAGUUAGGGGACCGAAGACGAUCAGAUACCGUCGUAGUCUUAACCAUAAACUAUGCCGACUAGGGAUCGGAUGAUGUUAAUUUUUUAAUGACUCAUUCGGCGCCUUACGGGAAAC